rnacentral:piRNA from 1 species
UACAUCGCAGUGAAAGUACCC